CGCUGGCGGCGUGCCUAAUACAUGCAAGUCGAACGCUUCUUUUUCACCGAACUUCGGUUCAUCGAAAAAGAGGAGUGGCGAACGGGUGAGUAACACGUGGGUAACCUGCCCAUCAGAAGGGGAUAACACUUGGAGACAGGUGCUAAUACCGUAUAAUGCUUUUUCUCGCAUGAGAGGAAGCUGAAAGGCGCUUUUGCGUCACUGAUGGAUGGACCCGCGGUGCAUUAGCUAGUUGGUGAGGUAACGGCUCACCAAGGCCACGAUGCAUAGCCGACCUGAGAGGGUGAUCGGCCACACUGGGACUGAGACACGGCCCAGACUCCUACGGGAGGCAGCAGUAGGGAAUCUUCGGCAAUGGACGAAAGUCUGACCGAGCAACGCCGCGUGAGUGAAGAAGGUUUUCGGAUCGUAAAACUCUGUUGUUAGAGAAGAACAAGGAUGAGAGUAAAAUGUUCAUCCCUUGACGGUAUCUAACCUGAAAGCCACGGCUAACUACGUGCCAGCAGCCGCGGUAAUACGUAGGUGGCAAGCGUUGUCCGGAUUUAUUGGGCGUAAAGCGAGCGCAGGCGGUUUCUUAAGUCUGAUGUGAAAGCCCCCGGCUCAACCGGGGAGGGUCAUUGGAAACUGGGAGACUUGAGUGCAGAAGAGGAGAGUGGAAUUCCAUGUGUAGCGGUGAAAUGCGUAGAUAUAUGGAGGAACACCAGUGGCGAAGGCGGCUCUCUGGUCUGUAACUGACGCUGAGGCUCGAAAGCGUGGGGAGCAAACAGGAUUAGAUA
rnacentral:rRNA from 1 species